rnacentral:rRNA from 1 species
AUUGCCUCAGUAACGGCGAGUGAAGCGGCAACAGCUCAAAUUUGAAAUCUGGCCCUUUCAGGGUCCGAGUUGUAAUUUGCAGAGGGUGCUUUGGCGUUGGCCGUGGUCUAAGUUCCUUGGAACAGGACGUCACAGAGGGUGAGAAUCCCGUACGUGGCCGCCGGUCUUCGCCGUGUAAAGCCCCUUCGACGAGUCGAGUUGUUUGGGAAUGCAGCUCUAAAUGGGAGAUACAUUUCUUCUAAAGCUAAAUAUUGGCCAGAGACCGAUAGCGCACAAGUAGAGUGAUCGAAAGAUGAAAAGCACUUUGGAAAGAGAGUCAAAAAGCACGUGAAAUUGUUGAAAGGGAAGCGCUUGCAGCCAGACGUGCCCGCAGUUGCUCACCCAGGCUCUUGCCUGGGGCACUCUUCUGCGGGCAGGCCAGCAUCAGUUCGGGCGGUUGGAUAAAGGCCUCUAUCACGUACCACCUUUCGGGGUGUCCUUAUAGGGGAGGCGCAACACGGCCAGCCUGAACUGAGGACCGCGCAUCAGCUAGGAUGCUGGCGUAAUGGCUGUAAGCGGCCCGUCUUGAAACACGGACCAAGGAGUCUAACAUCUAUGCGAGUGUUUGGGUGUCAAGCCCGGGCGCGCAAUGAAAGUGAACGGAGGUGGGAACCUUUUAGGUGCACCAUCGACCGAUCCUGAAGUCUUCGGAUGGAUUUGAGUAAGAGCAUAGCUGUUGGGACCCGAAAGAUGGUGAACUAUGCCUGAAUAGGGUGAAGCCAGGGGAAACCCUGGUGGAGGCUCGCAGCGGUUCUGACGUGCAAAUCGAUCGUCAAAUUUGGGCAUAGGGGCGAAAGACU